rnacentral:rRNA from 1 species
UGGGGAAUUUUGGACAAUGGGCGAAAGCCUGAUCCAGCAAUGCCGCGUGUGUGAAGAAGGCCUUCGGGUUGUAAAGCACUUUUGUCCGGAAAGAAAUCCUUGGCUCUAAUACAGUCGGGGGAUGACGGUACCGGAAAAAUAAGCACCGGCUAACUACGUGCCAGCAGCCGCGGUAAUACGUAGGGUGCAAGCGUUAAUCGGAAUUACUGGGCGUAAAGCGUGCGCAGGCGGUUUGCUAAGACCGAUGUGAAAUCCCCGGGCUCAACCUGGGAACUGCAUUGGUGACUGGCAGGCUAGAGUAUGGCAGAGGGGGGUAGAAUUCCACGUGUAGCAGUGAAAUGCGUAGAGAUGUGGAGGAAUACCGAUGGCGAAGGCAGCCCCCUGGGCCAAUACUGACGCUCAUGCACGAAAGCGUGGGGAGCAAAACAGGAUUAGAUACCCUGGUAGUCCACGCCCUAAAACGAUGUCAACUAGUUGUUGGGGAUUCAUUUCCUUAGUAACGUAGCUAACGCGUGAAGUUGACCGCCUGGGGAGUACGGUCGCAAGAUUAAAACUCAAAUGAAUUGACGGGGUCAUAGCUGUUUCCU